UUCCCUCCGAAAUUUCCCUCAGGAUAGCUAGUGCUCUCACAGAGAUGUUGGAAAACCCACAGCUUUAUCUGGUAAGGCGAAUGAUCAGAAAGGUCUUGGAGCGGAAACGAUCUCAAUCUAGUCUCAAAGUUUAAAUGGAUAAGAAGCCGGCUCACUGGUGUGGAAGCUGGAGUGGAAUGUUAGAACCCAGUGGUCCUUUUGGUAAGCAGAAAUGGUGUUGCAGGAUGAACCGAACCUGUUAAGCCCCACCCCACCCCCACCCCCACGCUGACAUUCAUCAGACUCCAGAAAAGAUGUUGGUUGAUAUAAACAGCAGGACAUGGCCAUGGAAGUUGGGAUCCGCUAAGGAGUUUGUAACUAUUCACCUGCCGAAUCAUCUAACCCUGAAAAUGGAUGGCUCUGGAGCUUCUGGCCCGCACCUGGCUGUCGUGUGCAGUCAAACAGUUCCGGAGCAGCCUCGAGCGCUAGCUCACUGCUUCCGGGCCCCACAGAAGCUAUGCUGCAAUGAGUAGGCGGGCCUGUGCAGUGAGCAUUGGAGUCUAGGACGCAGGCCCAGGUGGAGCCACUGCAGAU
rnacentral:ncRNA from 1 species